GCUCGAGCGGAUGAGAGGAGCUUGCUCCUCGAUUCAGCGGCGGACGGGUGAGUAAUGCCUAGGAAUCUGCCUAGUAGUGGGGGACAACGUUUCGAAAGGAACGCUAAUACCGCAUACGUCCUACGGGAGAAAGUGGGGGAUCUUCGGACCUCACGCUAUUAGAUGAGCCUAGGUCGGAUUAGCUAGUUGGUAGGGUAAAGGCCUACCAAGGCGACGAUCCGUAACUGGUCUGAGAGGAUGAUCAGUCACACUGGAACUGAGACACGGUCCAGACUCCUACGGGAGGCAGCAGUGGGGAAUAUUGGACAAUGGGCGAAAGCCUGAUCCAGCCAUGCCGCGUGUGUGAAGAAGGCCUUCGGGUCGUAAAGCACUUUAAGUUGGGAGGAAGGGCUCAUAGCGAAUACCUGUGAGUUUUGACGUUACCAACAGAAUAAGCACCGGCUAACUUCGUGCCAGCAGCCGCGGUAAUACGAAGGGUGCAAGCGUUAAUCGGAAUUACUGGGCGUAAAGCGCGCGUAGGUGGCUUGAUAAGUUGGAUGUGAAAUCCCCGGGCUCAACCUGGGAACUGCAUCCAAAACUGUCUGGCUAGAGUGCGGUAGA
rnacentral:rRNA from 1 species